AUUAGUUUUAUCAAAUACAAUAUGAAUCGAUUCUUUAACAACUAAGGUUCCCCUGUUGAAGACUGUAUAUAUCUUGUUAGAUGAAGUAUAUUUCAAAAAAAUACUUUCAUCUGACUUAACAUCAAAUUUAUCAAAUUUAUUUUUUAUUAUUAAAAAUAAAACAUCAAUAAUCAAAAAUAUAAAAAUAGCUAAUAUUAGAUUUUUUUUAAGCUUAGAAGGGGUUUUCUUCAAAAU
rnacentral:lncRNA from 1 species